AUGUGUUCAACAACUGGGCGCCCGUCUCCACGUGGAUAAUUGCAUCAAAAUCUAUGAAUUCGCUGAAAAACAGUCUCUCCGUCAACUUUCCACAGUCGCCGGCUCGAUGAUUGCGGGGGCGUGGCCGAAACUUGGCCCCGCCCACUUUGCACAAAUGACCGCCGCAUUGUUGUAUCGAUUGAUUGAUGGGUUGGUUGCCGAUUGUCGAAAAAUUUAAAUUUUUUUUCCAGAAAUACCAAAAACGUGCUUCACUCGAUUGUGUCUAUUGGUCGGGAAGAUGUACUUUUCCUGUAUUUUAUGCAAAAUUCUGCGAAAAUUCCAAAAAUCCUGAACGAUUUGGACCCGCAAGGAGCCAGUGCACUUGAAAUUGCACUUUGCUCGGAGCG
rnacentral:sRNA from 1 species